UACGAAGGGGGCUAGCGUUGCUCGGAAUCACUGGGCGUAAAGGGCGCGUAGGCGGCCUGAUAAGUAGGGGGUGAAAUCUUGCGGCUCAACCGCAAGGCUGCCUUCUAAACUGUCAGGCUGGAGCACGGUAGAGGCAGAUGGAAUUCCCGGUGUAGCGGUGGAAUGCGUAGAGAUCGGGAAGAACACCAGUGGCGAAGGCGGUCUGCUGGGCCGUUGCUGACGCUGAGGCGCGACAGCGUGGGGAGCAAACAGG
rnacentral:rRNA from 1 species